AAUUACGGUCAGGGUCGAGGCAGUUUCAGCCGCGGACGAGGUGGCAUAUCCAAGCCAUCCUACACGUCCAAGUCAGUAUGCCACAGAUGCGGGAUGGACAACCAUUGGGCCAAGAACUGUAGAACUCCGAAACACUUGUGCGACCUCUACCAAGAGAGCCUCAAGAACAAGAAUCCGGAGGCAAACAUGAUCCAAGAAACCGGUCAGGAUGACAAAGGAUAUGGGUAUGAUGCUGACAAAGAAUCCGACCAAGAUGAUCUAAUGGACUUUGAAAUUUCUGAUUGUCUCAAGGACUAGUUUUCGAAUCACUUGUCUUAUUGCUUUAUGUUUUUGAUUUGGUGUUUUUAUUUUGUGUUAUGACAUUUAUAAUAAAGAAAGUUUUUAAGAUUUUAUGAAGUCUCUGAGUUUAGAAAUUUUAUUUAUAGAAUGAAUGAUGAGAUGAGUAUACUUGUGGUGAAUAGUGGCACAAGUCACACAAUACUUAUAGACAAAAGGUAUUUCAUGAAUCUCACAAUGCAAAGUGCAAAGGUACACACCAUUGCGGGGGAGGCUAGCCUGAUUGAAGGUCACGGCCAAGCCUAUGUGUUAAUGCCUAAGGGCACUCAUCUAGAGAUCAAAACCGCCUUGUAUUCCCCAAGCUCUAGAAGAAGCUUAUUAAGUUUCAAGGAUAUAAGAUUGAAUGGUUUCCAUCUUGAAACAUGGGAAGAAGGAAACAAGGAGUUCCUUAACAUAAUCUCGAUCACCAAAGGCAAUAAAAAUAUCCUAGAGACUAUACCCGCAAUGUCUACUGGUCUAUACUAUGCAAGGAUCAGUAUGAUCGAGGCAAAUGCCUCCGAGCUAUUCACUUUAUGGCAUAACCGGCUUGGCCAUCCCGGAACAAGUAUGAUUCAAAAAUUUAUGAUGAAUUCACAAGGGCACAUGUUUAAAGGAGUGAUACCAGAAAAUCUCACAUGUGCAGCAUGUGCACAAGGUAAACUCAUGACUAGGCCAUCACCAGCCAAGAUUGAUAAAGAAACCUUAAACUUUCUGGAAAGGAUUCAAGGAGACAUAUGUGGACCAAUACACCCACCUUGUGGGACGUUUAGAUACUUCAUGGUCCUCAUUGAUGCAUCGACCAGAUAGUCGCAUGUGUGUCUACUAUCCACACGGAAUCUGGCCUUUGCACACCUGCUUGAUCAGAUGAUAAGGCUGAGAGCACACUUUCCAGACUUCCCUCUUAAGACUAUACGUCUAGACAAUGCUGGUGAGUUCACGUCCCAAGCGUUUAAUGAAUACUGUAUGUCCAUGGGGGUAAGAGUAGAACACUCCGUGGCACAUGUCCAUACACAGAACGGCUUGGCCGAAUCUUUCAUUAAACGUAUCCAGCUGAUAGCCCGGCCAUUGCUAAUGAAGUCUCAACUCCCAGUAUCAACAUGGGGACAUGCGGUUUUACAUGCAGCGGAACUGAUUCACAUUAGGCCAUCUAGUGAGCAUAGAUAUUCACCAUCCCAACUACUUACGGGUCAUGACCCAGACGUGUCGCACAUUAAGACAUUCGGAUGUGCCGUCUACGUUCCAAUUGCUCCACCACAGAGAACUAAGAUGGGACCACAAAGGAGGAUGGGAAUAUACGUAGGAUAUGAUUCCCCAAGCGUUAUAAAGUAUCUUGAGCCAACAACCGGUGAUUUGUUUAAGGCCAAAUACGCAGACUCACAGUUUGAUGAGUCAACAUAUCCGUCCUUAGGGGGAGAUAACAGCCGGUUGAUCAUUAAAGACUUGGAAUGGUUUAGACCAUCAAUAUCUUGGCAAGAUCCUCGGACUAAAGAUUGUGAUAUAGAUAUCCAAAAGAUUAUACAUCUUCAAGAUCUAGCUAAUAGACUGCCAGAUACAUUUGCUGACCCAAAUAGAGUAACAAUAUCACACAUCCCGGCUUGUAAUGCACCUAUAAGAUUAGACGUCCAGAAGGGACAAUGUCAAGUGGCUACAGAGUCUAAGCAACGUUUAAAACGUGGUAGACCAAUUGGUUCCAAAGACAAACAGCCUCGGAAGUCCAAGAAAAGUGCUGGAUCCGAGUGCAUCAAGGAAACCGUCCAGGACAUAGAUGGACCGGUCGAGCCGACCAGGAUGGUCGAGCCAAGUGUGCCGGCCACACCCGAUGAUCCGGCCGUUCCUGAUAGUGAGGUCCGGGACGCCGGGCUUCACGGGACACAAGAGCCAGACAACCAAGAGAUCUCUAUAGACUAAAUAAUGUCUGGAAAACAAUGGAACAGAAAAUAUAUGAUUUGUUUGCAUACAAGGUAGCACUUGAGAUCAUGGAUAAAGAUGAGGAUCUAGAACCCACGUCCAUACAAGAAUGCAUGCUAAGAUCAGAUUGGAUCAAAUGGAAAGAAGCUAUAAACGUGGAGUUAGAAUCAUUGAGAAAGAGAGGCGUUUUUGGCCCUAUAAUCCGGACACCAAGUGAUGUCAAACCAGUGGGAUACAAAUGGGUCUUUGUAAGGAAGAGAAACGAGAGAGGAGAAGU
rnacentral:rRNA from 1 species